CACCUAUUCUACUGUAUAUAUAUAUAUGUAUAUAUGUAUAUGUAUAAGUAUAUAUAUAUACAUAUGUAUAUAUAUGUAUAUACAUAUAUGUAUAUAUGUGUAUAUCUAAUAGAUAAGUUGGUACUCUCUUAGCAGCUACUAAUAACUAUCAUAGGCAAAAGACCAAUGUAUGUGUGAUAUGACUAAUAUUUACUUAUUUAGAAUUCCUAUUUUUGGCAUAAAAACUGCAUAUCUUGUAUAACCCCAAUACAUGUGCUUGAUGGAAAGACUUGUAAGGUGUAUUCAUAAAAUAAAAUUUUAUUUAUUUUCUGAAAGGUUUCAAGGUUGCAGAAAAACACUAUUUAUGCCACAAAUUACAUCAGUGGUUUUUAAAGUAGUUGAGCCUGUGGACUGCUGCCAACCUGUAAUGUCUCUCCCAGAUAGUCCUCACCACACUAAUUGAAAAUACCACUGAUGUGGUGUCCAGCUCUCUCUGUGGACUACUUAUUGCAGUUUUGAAAGUCACUGCUGAAAGCCAUGUCCAUAAUGCUGGUGGCUACUAAGGUGUUCUGAAAUCCUGAAAAUCACAGUUCCUGCUUUUCAUUUGGUCCCCAGUCUCAUAAGAAAUCCUUGUAGUAAUGACACUUAGAGUGAAAAAGUUAAGCACAUCCCAUUGCAGUUUGUUAGAGUACAAGUGUCAGAAUUUUUUUUCCUUUUUAAGUUGAAGUACAAAGCUGACUCUGAAUUAUGCAUGCCUAGAGUAAUUCUGCAUUGAAUUAAAUCACUAAUCCUGGUGCAAGCACUCCCUCUGAAUUAAUUUUUAAAUUAAUUUUUUUCCCUCCAUGUCUUUCUGUUUUGUUGAUUGUGGUUUAAAGAUUGGGCUGAGCACAUGAAAUAGUGAGAAUCGUUUUUCUCAUGUACUAUAUGCCUAGUACCAUGCUAUUAGCAUAGAAUCCUUCCUACAUGGAAAUAGCUGAAUACUUUCUCAUUGGCAAUUCAGAAUUCCCAGGUUACUUCAGCUGUCACAAAUCCCAACACCUAACAUGCAGAUACAGUCUCUGUUGUAGAUGAUGUUGCAGAAGAUAUCAACUGCAGGGGGUAAUGGCAGCAGGGUGACCCUUCUCUCUCUUCGCCAUGUGUCCAGCCAGCCUGACACUCUUGCUUUAACCUAAUGACACCACUCCAAACACACAUAACAUCUUGGGAUGAGCCGUGUGUUACCCGAGCAGAAGUACAGAAAAUGCCACAACCCUGCCAAAGCAUCGUCCCCGCCCCUGCCCAAAUCCAUCCAUCAGUCCAGCUAUUACUCCUGUAGGAUGCUGCAGCCCUGAGGACAAGGGUAGGCUGGCUGACAUCAGCAACUGCUGAGGCAGGAGGAUGAGUCUGCCCAUAGCACAACAUGCUAUCUCUGCAUGCCAAACAUGAGGAGACACACAAAAUGUCCUUCAAAUUUGGGGUCUUCCUUAGUGCUAAGACCUUCAUCCCUCAUCCUCAACUUGGCUGCCUUGUCUCACAGUGACUGUGGUGCCACCAUUGUUGCUGGGACUGGUCCCAUACAAUGGUGCCCACAGAGGCCCCACCGGCUGUAGCUGUACCCCAUACCUCCCUGCAGCCACUGAGGAGGAGGAUGGAGAGGUUUCACCUCCACCCCAAUGCUGCCAGUCUCAAGGGCAGCACCCAGGCUGGGAAUAGGGUUGCAUACAGCACAGGGGCUGCAAGUACCUCUCUGCCAGCACCAAGAAAAGGCAAGUGCGUGCUCCCUCUUACAUCUGUGUGUUUGCUGUCUGCACAUGAUUCCCAUUACUGCCACAUUCAGGGGACUCUCUGCAGCAGGGUUGUGUGAAUGUUAAUUAAACUAAUCCCAGAUUUUAUGCGUCUAGCUGAUAAGACAGGCUGGCAGUGCUCUAAAUUUAGAUUUGUUGGGAGCUGUUUGAGAAGACAAACACAGACAGAGCUGCACUGAUGUAUCCUGCAGCAGCACCUUCACUCUCAAAAUGGCAUCAGUCCAUGGUAAAUGGGCUGAAUAAAUAAUGUGGGACAGCCCUGCUAACGGCAGAAGUGUGGUUAUAUGUCAACAGUAUCACCCGGCCAAGCCUAGAACAGGUUACGCUCCUGUCACCCAUGUAUGGACUGUGUUCAGAAAAGGGAGAUGCAGGAAGUGGCACUGCUUUAACUCGGUAAACAAUAUAAAAAUGGAAAACUCGCCCUAAAUAAAAAAACAAACAAAUACACACCCCCAUAAAUUGAAAAUUGUGACUUUGGACUGACAUUGAUAUUUUUACUGUGUUUGACUGAGAUUGACUGCUUUUGACUUUUUUGUUGCUCAGUUGUGUCAAUGACUUAAAAUAUUGUCCUGAGGGGGUGUUUUGUGUCUUGGGUUUGUUUUUUUUUUCAAAAGAGGUCUCUGAUAUUGCACCCCCAGCUUUGUGCUUGCAUCAGUUUUAUGGAGCAUCUGAGGCUGGGUGCCUUGAGUGGCUUCUGCAGAUUGAAUUUACUGAAAGUGCCUCACGUUGUACCUCGGCUCGAGCACCCAGUCUACGGUCCUUGGAGAGGCUGCCUGCUGGAGAAGAGAGGUCUGGAAAUACAAGUGAAUGAAACAAAGAAAGAGCAGUGGGAAAACAGAAGAACUUAAAAGUUGUGACAGAGUCUUCAGCUUUCAGAGGGCUCCUAUUUACUCCUUUAUAUGCUUUACUGGAAAGACGAGUAGCUUGCAGUUUCCAGAGAGAGUCGGCAGGCUGUGGGAAAUAGUAAAGGUUUGAAGUAUAAGCCAAAGGGCUGAUAAACAGCCUGGGUGAUUGACAGCUCUGCCUGCACGGGACCUACAGUGCAGAACCCUCUUGUUCUUCGUUGGAAAGGAUCAAAUCCUGACCCACUGUUUCUAAGAUAUUUUCCUGAAGUCUGUGAGGAAAGAAAGGACAAAGAGCUAUUUGGGGAAAAAAAUGGUCUGGAAAAGAAGGGUAAGCCCUUUCCUCAGGGUCUUCUCCCACUGUGGCUGACAGAAGCACAUUUUCAGAAUGAGUAGACAGGAUUCAUUGCACCAUGUCAUCAUAAAGAAAACAUUAAACUGACCAUAGAAACUGCACUCUGAAAUUGCCUGUUUCUCAUCAGCGAUUAUAAAAGGCAGUGUCCAGUUACUAGCACUAACUCACACCUCUUUGCCGUAGACAUCUCAUAUUAGAGGGUGAGAAUCUCCCCUUGGUAUGGACAAUGUUGCCUGGUGACAGCUAUCCGAGUGAGGACUGUUGCUAUGUUUUAGCCCUUAUCCUAAGGAUCCCAGUAGCUUUAUGUCCCCUGUACCAUAUUGUGAUGUAGCAUUGUUUUAUUUUAUAAUGCUGGCUGGCAUAUUUUCAUGGGAGCAGUAACAUACAGUGCAUGAUUUAAAGGUGGUAAUUGCUCAUCUGGUAUAUUCUAGGGAAUCACCCUGCUAUUUAAAAUACUCUGAAGCUCCCAAGCAAAAGCUAUUUUUUCUCUCAACUGGAAACAGAUCUGGCUGAUAAAUGUAUAAUUGCUGUAGCAUGCCAAGAGAUGCUUUAGCACACAGGAAUAUUGUGAUAGUAGAGGCAGAAAUUUGACACUACAUCUUGAAUAUAGGGCACAAAUUCCCACCUAAUCUGAAGACCAGAAAUAAAAAGAGUAAGAUUCGAAAUAGGGCAUUUUUUUUUUUGCUCAUAUGAAAUUGAAUCACAGAAUCAUAGAAUUAUAGAAUAGUUUGGGUUGGAAGGACUUGUAAAGGUCAUCUAGCUACAUUCUCUUUCAACUGAAUGUCUUCAACUGGAUCAGGUUGCUCAGAGCCCUCUGCUUACCUUCCUUGUAGUACUGAAGGUGUUAAAAGCAAUGUUACCACCUGCCUGACUAAAGCAAGCAGGGACUUAUGGCACCCACUGAGCUCUGGGUAAUUCUGGUUGUGAUGAGAUUGCAAUCUUUCGAAUGAAAAGGCUGGUCAUUUCUGACAGGAGCAGAACCACUGGAGACUACUGUCUGAGACAUGUCGUAGGCUUUGGGAGAGAUCUGCCCCUAUGCAUUUGGAAACAAGGACAGGCUGUGAGCCACUGUAUGUCUUUGUGCUGUGCUGGCUAUGGCUUGUGUCAGCUGUGCUAACCAGCUGGGCCAGUGAGGCACACAGGGACAUUUGAUCUCCUGCAAUACGACAGUUACCCUUUAGCAUACCACAACACAAAGAAAGGUCUUGCAGACACUUCAGAGAAAAAUAAAGCAUAUGAAUACAUACAAGCAUACUCAAAUUAGUCUUAUUUGUUUGAAACUGGAGGCAGCACUGCUUGCAUGAGCCUGCUGCACUAUUACUGGUCACCAGCUGCAGAAGCUCCUGGUCUUAUUCCCAUUCCCUCACAUAGGAUGAGGAGUCAGUUUCCUCAAGCAGCACUGUGCCACCUCAGGGUGUUCCUAUCCAUCCCUUCCAGCUGCCCAGGGUAGCAACCUCCAGGAGGAGAAGCAAGAAUGAGAGUGGGAUACUUUGUCCCUCAUCAGCCAGGCAGGGAAAGAGCCAGCAGGGCAGUUACCACUACCAUGAGGGCAGCAACUGAACCCAAACUGAUGAAGGGCAUCGGAUCUUUGAACUGAAAAAAAAAGUCACAGAACAAAGCUUUUUCAAUAAAAGGGUAUUCUUGUUAAGCAAUUGUUGGAUACAGUAUAGAAGAUAAUUGCCUAAAUUAAGUUGUAUGGAGAAAGUGAUCCUGUAGCCACUUGCAGAUUAUAAUUCUCUGCUGUCUGGUCUGGGACAUAAACUAAUUUCCAUUCUUGCAGGAGUCAGAUAGCUGCAUGCAUAAUAGAAAUGCAUUUACUAGCAGCCACAGAAGAAGCUAUAUAUCUCUCAUCAGAACUGUUGGCAUGUUGCUGGGAGUACUGCUGGCCGUCUGAGCGGAACACGAGAAUAGGACCUGCUCAGUGCAGUAGGGACAUCUCCACCUGUGAGUGUAGCCCUGUCACCAUGGCAGAGGUGCCAGUGUGUUCCUGAUUUCAAUCACUAAACAGCAGUACUAAGAUGCCCUGGUAAGUCUGUGUGAGAAUGAUUUCUGAACCUCAGUUGCAGGGAAUAAGAGUCCAUGAGAGCUGCCUGUGGUGGCACAUUGGCAGCUAAAACACUGCUGUUUCCCUCCCACUGAGAAAAGCUUAUGCUUUAGGUCAGCUGCAGGACCUUUCCCUAAGGGAACUGAAACCAAGUCCUGGAGUACAGUGCAGACUUGAGGACUCCCUGUCUGAGGAUAGGGGUUUACAGAUACCCGCAGCACACCUGCCUGUGGCAAAACCAGGGUGUGAUUUGGAAAGGGAGAAGUAGAACCAGCAUGACAUCCCAGAGAUUAUUAGGUCUUUUUUUGUUUAUUGAUGAGGCAUGAGGUGCAUUACAGGUGUACAGGGAGUGCGAUCAGUGCUGCUGCUGCAAAUCCCAGGCUUCCUGAUAAAAUAAAGACCUGGGUUGUGUGUAGUUAAACCCACAAAGAAGGACCAUCAAGGACUGCCAGAAAUACAUAAUGAAUACUGCCUUUACAGGAAUUUUGUUGAUUGCCAUGUAUCCAGUGUUGCUGAAAAUUUCUGUGCACUUGUCCAUUUCCUCAGAAAUCUACUUUCUCUCCCACAGCAGCUUGCGAGAAAUUUGUGAAAAAGUUUACCCCUGGUUACAGGCUGUGAUUCAAGGUUCUGCAUUUACCUCCCAAUUCUGCUGCUGACUCUCCCUUUAGGUCCUGUGUAACACACUGUUCUAGUUUUAGCUUGGAUAGAGUUAAUUUUCUUCUUAGUUGGCACAGUGAUGUGUUUUGGAUUCAAGAUGAGAAUCAUGUUGAUAGCGCACACGUUUCAGUUGUUGUUAUGUAGUGCUUAUUCGAAGUCAAGGACUUUCCAGUUUCCCAUGCUCUGCCAGUGAGCAGGUGCCCAAAGAGCUAGCCAAAGGGAUAUUCCAUACUGUAGAAUGUCAUGCUCCGGGAGUUGGCUGCGAGAGGCUCCUCACUGCCUGGGGACAAGCUGAGCAUCAGUCAGUGGGUGCUAAGAAAUUGUAUUGUGCAUCACUUUUCUUCUUGAGUUUUAUUCCUCUCUCUCUCUUUCUUCUUUUCAUUAUUAUUAUUAUCUUUAUUAUUACAAUAUUUUAUUUUGUUUCAAUUAAUAAACUGUUCUUAUUUCAACCUAUGGGUUUUACUUUCUUUCUGAUUCUCCUCCUGACCAGAGGAGGGGAGUGAGCGACUGGCUGCAUUGUACUUAGUUGCUGACGGGGGUUAAACAACAACACACAGGGACUCUGAGCCUGGCUUUAAAGUAGGAGUAAUAAGAAUGUCCUUUCUCCAUCUCUGUUUUAACUCAUGCUUAUUUGUACAGCAAGAUUUUGUGUCAGGUCAGGCAGCUCAUUGUGGAGAAGAAAAAGAGAAGGGCAGGGAGCCCACUAGUGUAGCACCACCCAAUGAAACAAUUCUACACAACUCAGAGGAGAGAAACUGGGCACCUGUUUGUCAAUCUGUCUACACUACAACAUAUCUUACCCAGGGCAGGGACCUCCUCUUCCAAAGGAGUGCAUGACUUUCAACAAAGCUUUCAGCACCUGGUGAGGUGUGCAAUCAGUCCCUGAGGACAGUGCUGGCCAAACCAUAUUUGUUCACAGGCUGCAGCUGGUGCCUGAGCUCCCGGCUGGACGUGACAUGUUAAAGUGAAGCCGAUCACAGUCCUUGGUCCACACAAACAGUAGUAGUCUCCCCACUUCCUCUGAUUUCUGGAAAACACACAGAGACACAGCAUCUUCGAAAUUAAUAUUGCUUUGUUAAAUCUCCUUAAAAGAGAUCAGUGGCCUCCAGGUUACUAAGGAUGGGACAGACAGAUACAGCAUGGUUGUUUGUGUCUCCUCUCCUUAGGAAAGCAGGCUAAAAAUUAUAAUUUCUGAUUUUGUUGUUUCUUCUGGCCUUUAAGAGAUGCUUCCAAUCUUUGAUCCCAAUUCUGAUUCCAGCUGCAGCAUUGGACAGUGAAACACUUCCACUGGUUUUAUUCGAGUGAGUCUGAAUUUUCAUAUCAGUAGCUGAGAUAAUUAACUUUUCCUUUACAUUUGCUGGUAACUAUUUCCUUUAUUUUACUGUGGACUUAAAAUAAAAAUUUAAAGAUACUUUGAA